CGGGGUGAGUAAUGUCUGGGAAACUGCCUGAUGGAGGGGGAUAACUACUGGAAGCGGUAGCUAAUACCGCAUAACGUCGCAAGACCAAAGAGGGGGACCUUCGGGCCUCUUGCCAUCGGAUGUGCCCAGAUGGGAUUAGCUAGUAGGUGGGGUAACGGCUCACCUAGGCGACGAUCCCUAGCUGGUCUGAGAGGAUGACCAGCCACACUGGAACUGAGACACGGUCCAG
rnacentral:rRNA from 1 species